UACGUAGGGUGCAAGCGUUGUCCGGAAUUAUUGGGCGUAAAGAGCUCGUAGGCGGUUUGUCGCGUCUGCUGUGAAAAUCCAGGGCUUAACCCUGGACCUGCAGUGGGUACGGGCAGACUAGAGUGCGGUAGGGGAGAUCGGAAUUCCUGGUGUAGCGGUGAAAUGCGCAGAUAUCAGGAGGAACACCGGUGGCGAAGGCGGAUCUCUGGGCCGUAACUGACGCUGAGGGGCGAAAGCAUGGGGAGCGAACAGG
rnacentral:rRNA from 1 species